CUGCUCCAAGCAUGAUAUGUUCACUGUGUGGCCGAGGAUAGUUCGAAAACGUGACGCAUCACUCACCUCCUUCAGAACUCCUUCCGUGACUUAAAGCAUUUUAUUUUCAUUUCACGUCACUAGAGCGGCUUCCGGGGUGGCUUGUAGCACUUCCCAACCACACCAUACUCUAAGUUUCUUUUUCUGAAUUCUUUUAUUUAUUCAUUGAUGAUUAUUUAUUAAAUACAUACUCUGGCCAUAGAUCCUUUGCUUUGGCCGCAUGUAAAUAGCACCGAUAUUUAAAUGAGCACACAGAUAAACACCCAGCUGUGGCAAACCAUACUGAAGGAAAGCUCUAAGA
rnacentral:lncRNA from 1 species